UGGCGGCAGGCCUAACACAUGCAAGUCGAGCGAGACCUUCGGGUCUAGCGGCGGACGGGUGAGUAACGCGUGGGAAUAUGCCCUUUGGUACGGAAUAGCCUCGGGAAACUGAGAGUAAUACCGUAUGUGCCCCUCGGGGGAAAGAUUUAUCGCCAAAGGAUUAGCCCGCGUUGGAUUAGGUAGUUGGUGGGGUAAUGGCCUACCAAGCCUACGAUCCAUAGCUGGUUUGAGAGGAUGAUCACCCACACUGGGACUGAGACACGGCCCAGACUCCUACGGGAGGCAGCAGUGGGGAAUCUUAGACAAUGGGGGAAACCCUGAUCUAGCCAUGCCGCGUGAGUGAUGAAGGCCUUAGGGUUGUAAAGCUCUUUCAGCUGGGAAGAUAAUGACGGUACCAGCAGAAGAAGCCCCGGCUAACUCCGUGCCAGCAGCCGCGGUAAUACGGAGGGGGCUAGCGUUGUUCGGAAUUACUGGGCGU
rnacentral:rRNA from 1 species